rnacentral:lncRNA from 1 species
CUCCUCCAGUAAAGUCUCCUCCUCCUGCUUAUUACUACAGCUCACCUCCUCUACUCGUGAAAUCACCUCCUCCACCAGUAUACAUUUAUGCGUCUCCGCCACCUCCAAUCCACCACUAAGUGUUUCUAAGAGCUCAGCCAUUCUCCACAAUCAAUCAAGUGAGUUGCUGUUUGAGUUGUGUAUUCUUUUUUGCCAUAUGAAAUCAACUUUUUAUUUUUCUUUUCUUUGAAUUAAGUUCUGAUCUUCUAUUUCAUUGUUUCUUUUCAGAUUUUAGUUUGAAGCACUAAAAUAUAAAAGCUAGCUUCUUGAGAAAAAGAUUCAAGCGUCAAAUGAUACAAAGCAACUAAUUUAUGGAAUAAGAUAUUCAACCUUUCAAUUGAAGGAUUGAUUCUUAUUGCACAUUGUUCUCUAGUGUAUUCACGUGGACAAGGCUAAAAUAACUUUGAUUCUUCAUAAAUAGAGUUUGUUUUUUAGUAAUUUAUUGUUGUAUUGAGGAUGCCCUCGUUUUAUUCAUUUCCAAUUAAUUAUUGCAAGCUGUUUUCUUGUAAUACCUUGGUGUACUUUGUACACAAAUCAAUAAGAAGAUCAAUUUUGUUGUAUUCACUGUUUUUUCUUUUUCCUUUUCCCACUCGGUAAACAAAUAAAUAAGUCUUAUCUUUAUAUUUUAAAAAAUGAAAAUGAAAACACCAAUAAUUAUUUUAAGAUCUUUAAUAGUUUUAAGGUAAAAGAAAUUCAAGACAUAUAUAAGUAACACGUACCUCUCGUGUACUUUUUAUACUUAAGAUUUUUUUUUAAAAUAAAGCAAAAUCCUUUACAUUAUUCCUAUGAGAGUUUGUAGUAUUGAAUUGUCUCAUUAUUGUUUUGAAAGUAUGCAAACUUUAUGUUUACAAGUUGACCAAUA